GACCACAGAUCUGGUUCCAGAAUCAGAGGGCCAAGUGGAGGAAGCAGGAGAAGAGUGGGAGCCUCAGUGCCCCACAGCAGCCUGGUGAGGUCAGCCUGGCCCUACCCUCAAACAUGGACAUGCUUGGUCCUGUACUGACGCCCACUGCUCUGCCCACAUUGGUGCCACCCACAGAAUGCUACCUCCUCUCUCAGACUCAGCUCGCUUCAAGCUGGUUCCCUGCCCAGAUUCCCCUUGUCCCAUGGCACCCAUGGGACCUGCAGCCCCUGCCUGGCCCUCUCACCCAGCAGCCUUGUGUCCCUACCUUCAUCCUCCCACCCCC
rnacentral:lncRNA from 1 species